GGAACCUCUUUUGUGAGGGAAGAUAAUGACGGUACCUAACGAAUAAGCAUCGGCUAACUCCGUGCCAGCAGCCGCGGUAAGACGGAGGAUGCAAGCGUUAUCCGGAAUUAUUGGGCGUAAAGCGUACGUAGGCUGUUUAAUAAGUCUGUUGUCAAAGCCCGAGGCUCAACCUUGGAUCGGCAAUGGAAACUGUUAGACUAGAGAGAGAUAGGGGCAGGAGGAAUUCCAGGUGUAGCGGUGAAAUGCGUAGAUAUCUGGAAGAACACCAGUGGCGAAAGCGUCCUGCUGGAUCUCAACUGACGCUGAAGUACGAAAGCU
rnacentral:rRNA from 1 species